rnacentral:rRNA from 1 species
CAAUAGCGUAUAUUAAAGUUGUUGCAGUUAAAAAGCUCGUAGUUGGAUUUCUGGCUGGAGCGAUCGGUCCGCCCCGCAAGGGGUGGUGUACUAGCGUCGUCUCCGACCAUCCUUGUGGGAACUGUGCGGCCGUUAACUCGGUUGUAUAUGGGAACACAUCGUUUACUGUGAAAAAAUUAGAGUGUUCAAAGCAGGCCUAUGCUCUGAAUAGGUUAGCAUGGAAUAAUAGAAUAGGACUUUGGUUCUAUUUUGUUGGUUUCUAGGACCGAAGUAAUGAUUAAUAGGGACAGUUGGGGGCGAUUUUUAUUUCCAUUGUCAGAGGUGAAAUUCUUGGAUUAACGGAAGAAAACUAACUGCGAAAGCAUCUGCCAAGGAUGUUUUCAUUGAUCAAGAACGAAAGUUAGGGGAUCGAAGACGAUUAGAUACCAU